rnacentral:lncRNA from 1 species
UUGGGGAAUUUGUAGACCAGUAGAACAGCCGACUGAAGGAACAACAACAAAACAGUGGAGAAGGACAUAGAGUUAUCUACAUUUAUUUACCCAGACCUAUACUAUGUGCUGAAAAGACUAGUGAUUGGCACUGAGCCCACAACUUUGUGGAGCACAGCAUCAAUGGGGAAGACAAACAUGUAAGUCUUAUGUG